rnacentral:lncRNA from 1 species
UCAGGACCCCAGCCCAUGGAAUGCUGUGAUCAACAUUCAGAGUCGAUCAUCCUACAUCAAUUACCCUAAUCUAGGAAAUCCCACAGAGCCAGGACCAAAGGGACCACUUUCCACUGGGUGUCCCAGUGCCUAUCACACUUUAGUAGGACUUGAGGACAAAUCGUGUCUUGUUCUUGGAAGAAGCAUCCUGGCUAAGUGGCUG